rnacentral:rRNA from 1 species
AGUGAACGCUGGCGGUAGGCCUAACACAUGCAAGUCGAACGGCAGCACAGUAAGAGCUUGCUCUUACGGGUGGCGAGUGGCGGACGGGUGAGGAAUACAUCGGAAUCUACUUUUUCGUGGGGGAUAACGUAGGGAAACUUACGCUAAUACCGCAUACGACCUACGGGUGAAAGCAGGGGAUCUUCGGACCUUGCGCGAUUGAAUGAGCCGAUGUCGGAUUAGCUAGUUGGCGGGGUAAAGGCCCACCAGGGCGACGAUCCGUAGCUGGUCUGAGAGGAUGAUCAGCCACACUGGAACUGAGACACGGUCCAGACUCCUACGGGAGGCAGCAGUGGGGAAUAUUGGACAAUGGGCGCAAGCCUGAUCCAGCCAUACCGCGUGGGUGAAGAAGGCCUUCGGGUUGUAAAGCCCUUUUGUUGGGAAAGAAAAGCAGCAGGUUAAUACCCCGCUGUUCUGACGGUACCCAAAGAAUAAGCGCCGGCUAACUUCGUG